rnacentral:lncRNA from 1 species
AGACGACAAUGCCACAAGGAUGCUUUAUCCAUACUAGUGGAAGAAUCAAUAUUCAAAACAUCAUUUCCUAAGUUAUCAACAAUCAUAACGGUUUCAUAUAUUCCAUUACAUGGUAUAGCUUCAAAGUAAAAGACACCAUUUAGAUAAGCCAAAAUAGAACCAUUCUCAUUAUUAAAAGAAAAUCUAAAUCCUUGUCUAUAUAAACCAUGAAAUGAAAUGAUGUUUCUUGCCAUUUCUGGCGAAUAGCAACAAUUGUUCAAAUCUAAAACUAAACUAUUCCUAAGCACUAAAGAAUACACUCCAAUCUUGGUCACAGGCGACGAUCUUCUGUUCCCCAUGAUUAGAUUGAUCCUUCCUUGCUCCACAUCCCUACUUCUUCUUAGUCCCUGCACAUUAGAACAAAUGUGAUAACCACAACCGGUAUCAAGAACCCAAGAAAUAGCAUGAUUAGAAUCGUUAGAUUUGAUUGUGUAUAUACCUGCGAAAGAUGGCUUGAUCUUUCCUUCUUUGAUUGCUUGCAGGUAAUCUGGGCAGCUUCUCUUCCAAUGUCCUAUCUUGUGGCAGUGGUGGCACUCUGCCUCCUUCGGGUUAGAGCAGGGCUUAGCGGGAUCAACUUUGGUCCCACUAGAAGAGGCACCAUCUCGGGCUUUCACCUUGCGAUAGUUCUUCGAUGAAGCUUUCCUCUUCUUUCCCUUUCCUUGACCAAUAGCCAAGACAGGAGCAGCGGGCGGAUUGGGAGUAGGUGCAACAGACUUGUCCUUGAAGUUGCUCUCAGCGACCCUCAAGAGACCUUGGAGUUUGCUUAGGGUGACCUCUUCUUUGUUCAUGUGGUAGGUCAUCCUAAAUUGGUUGUACAUCGGAGGCAAAGAGUGAAGCACCAUGUCGAUCGCCAAGUCUUCACCGAAGUCAACAUUUAACUUGCGAAGGCGGUCGACAUACCUUUGCAUCUUUUGCAAGUGCACGGUAAGAGAUUCUCCAUGACCCAUCUUCGCGGAAAUCAUGUUAGUGAAAAUCUCGUACCUCUCUUGUCUCGCGUUUUGGUGGUACCUCUCCAAUAAGUCUUGAUGCAUCUCGUACGGGUACAUGUCCUCGUAGGACUUUUGGAAUUCGGAGUUCAUGGUGGCGAUCAUGAUGCAAUGUACCUUCGUUGCAUCUCGCUCAUGAGUCUCAAAAGCGGUGAUUUCGGCGGGAGUAGCGAUUUCGGGGUUGAUUUUCUCGAGCUUCUCAUCGAGGACAUACUCCUUAUCCUCAUAGCGAGCAAUGGUGCGAAUGUAUCUUAUCCAUUCGCUAAAGUUCGUUCCAUCGAAGGUGACCUUUUGGCAAAGGCUCAUCAACGUGAAAGAACUAGCAGCAGCGUUGUUUGCGUUCGACAUCUACAAUUAGAAAAGGACAAAGAUAGAUUAGAAUAAGAAUCCCUAAUUAUCACCCAAUAAGAAAAUUAGGGCUAGGAUCCAACAAUAACAUUUACAUACUAGAAAAGGGAUGCCGUAAUCUAACAUGCAAAUAAAUUGAAGGUAAGUGAAUGACGAUUCACUAAUUCUCCAUCACAAAACUUAAACUAUUAGUCCUAAGUGUUUUUGAGAAUUCCUAGGUUCGGAUGAGAUUCAUUGAAACUAUUCAAUGGCAUGUUUAAAUCUCGAUAUGCCCCUCUUGUUUGUGACUGGGAUACCGAGGAUCACAAAGCGGGUGUGAAUUACCAUGCAAAUUCACAUGGUGCCUUCAUUGUAACGAUCACCUAUUCGAUGUGCCGGUAAACCACACACGCUCCAUCGAACUAUGAUAAACAAUGAAUCACCCUUUGCCACCUUCGCUUAGAACCAAUUAGUGUGCCGGUAAACCACACACGCUCCACUAACAUCUUAGCAAGGUGCAAAGUGUAAUUUCAUGGGAUUGCAUCAAUUCACUUUUCCUAAAGUAACUAGGAUUGGGAAAUUUUAAAAUAUGUGUAGUUACUUUGUAUUUCUUAUUAUACUUUUAAUGAGAGGAUGAGGUUGCCCUAUCCUACCCGUUCGGCUAACGACCCUCCACCAAUCAAGCAAGCGGUGGGUGUGAGUGUACACCCAUUAAGCGCCAUUUUAUAGGCCGCAACCUUAUACCCACCUUAUAGAUCGGCUUCGUGAAUGAGGCCUACUAACGGUAAGACUAGCAUUUAGUUAUACAUAUAUAUAUUAUUCUAGUAAUAUCAUAUUAGUAUAGGGUUGUAUUUUAAAACUUUUAAAAUCUAGGGUUUGAAAUUUAAGUUGUCUAAAUUAAAACUUUUAAUCACAAAAGUAAAUUUCAAAACAUGAGGGUAGGUUUUAAACAUUUAAAACAUGGAGGAUCAAAUAACAAAUAAUUCCAAUUAACAAUUAAUAUCCUAAUUAUCUAUAUUUGAUUUAUUCAAGAUUUCUUUUAAGAUAAUUACCAAAAUAAUCAAAAUAAUUAAUUAAUUAUCAUAUAAGGAAAUUAAAUAUUUAAUUAGUUGAUAAUUACCUUUAACUAGAUCAAGAUAAUAGUUAUAUUUAUCAGAAAAACGAAUUAAUAUUGAUCUAAUUAGUUUAUGGUAAGUUAAGAUAAGAUAAACACAAAGAAAUCCCGAAUCUGGCCAUUCCUGACGCCUGGACUCGCCGAGUGCACAAGGGGACUCGCCGAGUCAGGCCUACUCGCCGAGUCCACCUUGGGACUCGCCGAGUCAGUGACUCAGAAACCAAAAAAUCGAAUUUUGCAGGUUUGUUUCAGUUAAUCAAGCAACAAUUUAAAGAAAACCAAGCUAGGCUCUGAUACCACUGAUGGGUUUUAGCCAUAAGAACUUUCCUAUGUGCGCAUGCAAAACCCUAUUGCUCGGAUCUAGGCUUUCUAAUUAAACAUGCUUUGAAUCCAAGACUUCUAAUAGCUAAUUAGGUUAAAUAACAACAUCGAAACAGAUCUAGAAUCAUACCUUUGAGUUCCUUGUUGAUCUUGUUGUCUUGGAGCUUCUAGAGUCACAAAUGUCACUCCUCUAAUGGCUUACAAACACCAAUAGCAAGCAAGAUGAUUUAGGAGAGAGGAGAAGGGAGGAAUUCGGCCAGAGGUUCCUUACUUUAGGUUGUGUGUCGAAUUCCCUCACCCCUAGGGUCUAUUUAUACUUGUAGACUCCUUAAGGGUUACCACCUAAACCCUAAUUGGAUAAUCUUCUCUUAAGGCUAUCCAAAUCCAUUCCAUAGAUAACCCUAUGGACGAUUUUGGCUUAUCCAAGCCCUAGAAAUCGUCCAUCCUAUCUAGGAUAAGGAUUUAUAGUCUAAAGUGUAACUAUCAACCAAUUGACAGUUUAUACCCUCUUAUUUAAUUAAUCUCUUUAAGUCACCAAAUUAAUUCGAAUUAAUUUAUGACUUAUAUUAAUCAAAUAACCAAAUAUUAUUCCUUAUAAUAUUUACUCUCUUUUUAACAAAUCAUCCAUCAAGUUGCUAUGGUGAAGGCAACCCAAAAGGACCAUGCACAACCGGAUAUAGUUACAGCCUUAGACACUAUUCCAACACUUUGGACGAACCUACACAAACUACAAGUGAUACUUCUUCAGCAAAAAGUGCAUGUUGUGCACAUGCUUCAAAACGAAAGGCCAACAUUCACAGAAAUCCAAAACAGGUGGCUGAUCGCAAACAUCAAAAAAAUCUGAGAUACAAGAAGAAUCUCUCAGAGAGAAAACUGUUUUGGAAUUCUCAAAAUCCUGAUUUUGUAAGGAUUGAAAGGAAGCAAAAAUCACAAGAAGAAUCAAGGAACCGAAAGGAUGGGUUCGGUCCUUCAAUCAACAGGAACCGAAAGGAUGGGUUCGGUCCUUCAACCAAUAUGUAACAGCCCGAAAUCUCAGGUAUUGUUUAAUUAUGUUUUUGGGGUGAGUUGAGAGGGGACUCGGCGAGUUGGAGCCUAGACUCGCCGAGUAGGAUCGCAGACCUGGUCGCGGGUCCGCGACUGGACUCGACGAGUCCAGAUAUGGACUCGGCGAGUCGACGCUGUUCAGCAGAAACCCUAACCGUUCGGUUUUGGAUCGUAUAUAAUGCUCUUAUAUGCCGUCAUUGUUCGUUUUUAGUCGAUUGAGAGGAACCCUAAACGGUUGUGGGCAUCUAGAGCAAGAUUGGAGGAUAUUAGGGCUUGAAGAGGUUGUGGGGCAAAGAGGAGAAAGGUUUUGGCUAAAGGAACAGCAAAGGAUUCGAGUUCUGCGGUUUGGAGACACAGAGAGGGCAUAUUCCAGGUAAUAUUUCGGAUUCCCUUCUGUUGUUUGAUGUGUUUAUGAAGUUAGGGUUUAUGAAACCCAUUUAGUGAAUAGAUGGGUUAUUAUGUUAUUACCCAAACGUUUAUACCCCAGUAAUGAGAUGUUUAGAAGUCCAGAAAGUCCCAUGGUUGUAUAUCUCGGGACCACACGUAAUUCAGGAAGCAGUUGCUCGUCUGCAUGGCAUGGACUCGCCGAGUUGUUCUUCAGACUCGGCGAGUAGCUUGAAGAUUUACUGGGACUCGCCGAGUUGUUCUUCAGACUCGGCGAGUGGAGUCGGGGUGGCCCCGCGAUUCUUCCAGGAGUAACUCGUCGGGUCGAGGAGGAUACUCGACGAGUAGAUAAGGAAUCUCAGAAAGUUGGAGGACGUCUAGACUCGCCGAGUCGCCAUGGUACUCGCCGAGUCCGGUCGAGCUGACCGUUGACCGUUGACCAGAGUUGACCUAAGUCUGACUUCUUAGGGAUAGUCACACUUAGAUGAUAUGAGUGUUAAUGAGUUAUGUAAUGUUAUAGGAGGGUUGUAGCUCGUUGGUUUGUGCGCGAGUGAUUUCAGGAGUUGCUAGCUUUCAGCACUUACGAGGUGAGUCUUCUCACUAUACUGUACCCGGAAGGGUUUGACUGUGUGACCGGAAGGUCAAGUAUGUUAUGUAUUAUGUUUAUAUGCUAUAAGUGGUAAGUUAAGUGUUAUAUGGAUAUGUAUGCUAUAAGUGGUAAGUUAAGUGUUAUAUGGAUAUGUAUGCUAUAUGUGGUAAGUUAAGUGUUAUAUGUGCUAUGUAUGAUAUGUGGGCCGGAAGGCAAUAUGUUAUGGGCCGGAAGGCGAUUAUGUUAUGGGCCGGAAGGCGUUGUAAUGAGGACCGGAAGGUCAGGGCCUGGAAAGGCGUAUGUGCGUAAGUGUAUAUUGGGGAACUCACUAAGCAUUUAUGCUUACAGUUGUUGUGCAUGUAUUUCAGGUACUAGCGAGGACCGUGGGAAGGCGCCGGCAUGAUCGAUACACACUGAAGAUUGUUUUAUGAUCUUGGGAGUUUGAAUAAUUGUAUUGACCGAAUAAUUAAACUGUUUAUGCCUUGUUUUUAAUGGAAAUAAUUAUGUUUUAAAAAUGAAAAAUUUGUUUGAAAAAUUUGAGUUGUUACAAUUGGUAUCAGAGCCUUGGUUUGAGGGAUUCGGGUGCACCUUCGGGGGUAACUGAACUCAAACCGAGGAUUUGAGGAAACUUUUCAAAUAAAGGCAUAAACUUUUGUAAAUGGUUUUGUGGUAAGCAAGAAAGAAGCAGUGUGUACGAUCAGUCAGCGCCCGAACGGUAAAGAUCCCCAAAAUACCUUACAAUAUUAUAUGAUAUGAAUUGUUAUGCAUGCUAGAAGACUAGGUAUUCAUGAUAGGACUAGAGUGGCCUGAUUUGUGAUGCCUUAGUCUAGGGAAGUUGCCUAUAUGAGAUGCUUUGCUAGUAUGCGGGUAGAUAGAGCGUAUCAGAAGUAGAGUACUCACUAUCUGGAGUUUGGGGAGGAGGACUUGGGAUGAACAUUGAUGCGGUGUGGUCGGUAGUAUUGGGCCCGUACUACCGAGGACACCGGGUCAGUGGGAGGCCCAAGUAAGAAUCCCUGGAUAUCUGGGACUGAGUAGGGUUGCGUGUCGAGUACGAUUAUACUCGGUAGAAUCUCUGAUAGUUUUAUGUUGUAUUUCAGAGAUAUCAUGGUUAGACCGCGGCACGGGGCAAGUACGAGCGGUGUGAGUGACGAGGAUAUUCGUCAGAUGAUCCACGAGGAGGUGGCGGCGGCGAUCCGGGCUGAGAUCCCGGAGAUGUUUGGGUCUAUCAAGACCACCCUGAUGGAGACGUUCGACGAGCGGUACGCCGCAUUGACUGAGGCUGCAACCGCUGCAGCUACCGCAGCUGUGGCCGCUGCUAGGCCACAGGGGGGUGAUUCAUUGCUGUUCCGAGAGUUCAGCAACACGAAGCCACCAGAGUUCGAUGGGACGCAGGAUCCGAUUGCUGCGAUGAGGUGGAUCGCAGAUAUAGAGGGGUGCUUCUACACUUGUUCAUGCCCGGAGCACCUGAGGGUACGGUUCGCUUUGAACCAGCUCCGUCUGGGAGCCAAGGACUGGUGGAAGUUCGUGACGGCGAACUUCACUUUAGCAGAGACUGCGGCAGUGACAUGGGAGGGGUUCACUACCAUGUUCAGGGAUGAGUACGUUCCCCCGGUGGAGCGGGAACGAUUGGUUCAGGAGUUCUUAACCCUCAAGCAGGGUACUGAUUCGGUGGCGGCGAUCACGCGGAAGUUCCAUGAGAGGGCGAUGUUUUGCCCCGAGCUGGUGGCCACAGAGCAGGCUCGGAUGAGCCGGUACUUGGGUGUUCUGAGGAGGGAGAUCCGGGAGUUUGUGUCAAACUCCACUUACCAUACUUUUACUGAGCUUCAGGCGAAUGCCAGGAAGCGUGAGAUCGAGUUAGAGACUCAGGCCAGGGAGGAGGCCGAGUCUCAGCAGGCAGACCGGCGACCGGCUCAGUCUCAGCCGGCAGCCAAGCGGAUCAAGUCCGCCGAUUCGAGGACGGGAGGUUCGAAGAACCGCACUUGCGUAAAGUGCGGUAAGGGUCACGAUGGGGCGUGUCGAGCCGGUGCUUGCUACAAGUGUGGCAAGGAGGGACACAUUGCUAGGGAGUGUCCCAAGGGAUUUAUGGUUUGCUUUCAUUGCAACCAGACCGGCCAUCGGAAGGCCGAGUGCCCUCAGCUUCGUCAGGGAUCUGCACCUGUUGCCAGGACUACUGAGACUCGACCGGUGAAGGUCGAGGCCCCGAGGGCUCGUGGGAGAGCCUUUCAGCUGACUGCGGAGGAGGUCCGCGCUGCGCCCGAUGUUGUGGCAGGUAUGUUGUAAUUCAUGUAAUUAUUUUAAUGUCGAUAUGUUAUGCUUAUGUUAUUAUGCGCGUAGGUACUUUCCUUGUGAACUCUGUGCCUGCCUUAGUGUUAUUUGACUCGGGUGCGAGUAGGUCCUUUGUGUCCUUGGCCUUUAGUCAGCAUAUUGGCGUUAGUCGUGAGUCGUUGAGUCGACCUUUGAGAGUCUCUAUAGCUGACGAGAAGGUGAUUUGUGCUACGGAGGUUCUUCGGGGAUGUGUACUAGAGAUUUUCGGGGUUGGAUUCCCGAUUGACCUGAUUCCUAUCGCGAUGGGGGAUGUCUGUGUCAUCGUGGGCAUGGACUGGUUGAGCCGGUUCGGCGCUGUCAUCGACUGUGAGCGUCAGUUGGUGACUAUACGAGACCCAAGUGGGGGAGUUCUUUCGGUAUACGGCGAGGGUACCCGUUCGGGAUCAGCUUUUUGUUCGGCCGCUAGGGCGAGGCAGUGUCUACGGCAGGGCUGUAAGGGUUUCGUGGCGUAUGUGAUGGAUACGCGGGAGGUUUCUGAGAAACCGAAGUCAGUUGAGGAAGUUCCGGUGGUGCGCGAGUUUUCAGAUGUCUUUCCCGAGGAGUUGCCGGGAGUACCGCCUGUGAGGCAAGUAGAGUUUAGUAUCGAUCUGGUUCCGGGGGCAGCGCCUAUUGCUAAAGUGCCCUAUCGUCUUGCACCUCCAGAGAUGCAAGAGUUGUCCUCGCAACUCCAGGAGUUGCUGGGGAAGGGAUUCAUUCGGCCGAGCAGCUCGCCAUGGGGAGCACCUAUUCUGUUCGUCAAGAAGAAGGAUGGUUCACACCGGAUGUGCAUUGAUUACCGGGAGUUGAACAAGCUAACGGUCAAGAACCGUUACCCGUUGCCGAGGAUCGAUGAUUUAUUCGAUCAGUUGCAGGGAGCAUCUUGGUUUUCCAAGAUCGAUCUGAGGUCAGGAUACCAUCAGGUGAGAGUACGGGAUGAGGACGUCCAGAAGACAGCGUUUAGGACGCGAUAUGGGCAUUAUGAGUUUGUGGUGAUGCCUUUUGGACUCACCAAUGCCCCGGCUGUGUUCAUGGAUCUCAUGAACAGGGUAUGCAGGCCGAUGUUGGAUCGGUCAGUGAUUGUAUUUAUCGACGACAUUCUGGUGUAUUCGAGAUCUAGAGAGCAGCAUGAGGAGCAUUUGAGGGAGGUCCUUGAGGUAUUGAGGUCGGAGAAGCUUUAUGCAAAGUUCUCCAAAUGUGACUUCUGGUUGCGGGAGGUCCAGUUUCUAGGACAUGUGGUUAAUCAGAAAGGGAUAUUGGUCGAUCCGGCCAAGGUUGAGGCGGUGAUGAGUUGGGAGGUGCCGAAGUCACCCUCUGAGAUCAGAAGUUUCCUUGGGUUGGCAGGGUAUUAUCGGAGAUUUAUCAAGGAUUUCUCCAAGAUCGCAGUGCCACUCACCAGAUUGACCCGGAAGGGUGUUACAUUCUCAUGGGGGCCCGAGCAGCAGACCUCCUUUGAGACACUUCGCCAGAGAUUGUGCGAAGCCCCGGUAUUAGCUCUCCCAGAAGGGAUGGAAGAUUUCGUGGUAUAUUGCGACGCAUCGAUUUCGGGAUUGGGUGCAGUGUUGAUGCAGAGGGGUCAUGUGAUAGCUUAUGCGUCGAGGCAGCUGAAGCCUCAUGAGGCGAGAUAUCCCACGCAUGAUUUAGAGUUGGGGGCAGUAGUGUUCGCUCUCAAGAUUUGGCGUCACUACUUGUAUGGGGUUCGAUGUACGAUAUACACGGACCAUAAGAGUUUGAAGUAUUUGAUGGAUCAACCCAACCUAAAUAUGCGUCAGAGGAGGUGGUUGGAUGUGGUCAAGGAUUAUGAUUGUGAGAUCCUGUACCACCCAGGCAAGGCUAAUGUGGUAGCCGAUGCAUUGAGCCGCAGGGCGGAGAGCACUCCAUUGCGAGACGUAUGCUUGAGACUGACUGUGAUGACUCCAGUAUUGGACGCUAUUCGUGGGGCCCAGGCAGAGGCUGUGCGACCAGAAAUGCAGAAGAAAGAGCGGGUUGUGGGGUUAAUCUCAGAGUUUGUCAAGGAUAGUCGAGGCCUUAUGACGUUUCAGGGUCGGAUUUGGGUGCCGUUCGUGGGCGGUACGCGUAUUACGUUGAUGGAAGAGGCUCAUAAAUCGAAAUUCUCGAUCCAUCCCGGUGCUACAAAGAUGUAUUUGGAUUUAAGGAAGGAAUAUUGGUGGCCCUGUAUGAAGAGGGACGUGGCAUGGUUCGUUGAGAGGUGCUUGACCUGCCGUAGGGUUAAGGCUGAGCACCAGAGACCGCAUGGCAAGUUACAGCCAUUGGAGAUCCCCGAGUGGAAGUGGGAACAGAUUACUAUGGAUUUUAUCACCAAAUUGCCGAGGACUGCUAGGGGAGUUGACGCAAUUUGGGUGAUCGUGGAUAGGUUGACAAAGAGUGCACACUUCCUUGCCAUCAGUGAGAGUUCUUCGGCGGAGAAAUUGGCGGAGAUAUACGUGAGAGAGGUGGUAUCUCGGCACGGGGUGCCGAUCUCGAUUGUGUCAGACCGUGAUGUGCGCUUUACUUCCAGAUUCUGGAAGAAAUUCCAUGAGGAGCUGGGUACUAAAUUGCAUUUUAGUACCGCAUACCAUCCCCAGACAGACGGUCAGAGCGAGCGGACAAUUCAGACACUGGAGGACAUGCUCCGAGCGUGUGUGUUAGACUUCGGGGGUAGUUGGGAUGCGUAUUUACCAUUGGCAGAGUUUUCCUACAACAACAGCCAUCAUUCGAGCAUUGGUAUGCCGCCUUUCGAGCUGUUGUAUGGUAGGAGGUGUCGGACUCCCAUUUGCUGGGGAGAGGUGGGACAGAGAGUGAUGGGCAGCACGGAGAUCAUACUCCAGACGACAGAGCAGAUUCAACAAGUGAGACAAAGAUUAUUGACUGCCCAGAGCCGACAGAAGAGUUAUGCAGACAGGCGCCGAUCCGAGCUUGAAUUUCAGGUCGGCGACUUCGUUCUCCUGAAGGUCUCUCCUUGGAAAGGAGUGAUUCGGUUCAGGAAGAGAGGCAAGUUGGGGCCCCGGUAUAUUGGGCCAUUUCGUGUGAUUGCAAGGAUAGGUCGGGUAGCCUAUCGGUUGGAGUUACCAGCGGAGUUGGGUCAGAUCCAUGACACUUUUCAUGUGUCGCAGUUGAGGAAGUGCAUAGCCGAUGAGUCGGCAGUGGUUCCAUUGGAGGAUAUUCAGGUGGAUGCGAGCCUGAAUUACGCGGAGAGACCAGUGGCUAUCAGGGAUCGGAAGAUCAAGGUUCUGAGGAACAAGGAAGUACCUCUGGUGUUGGUUCAAUGGCAACACCGUAAGGGAUCAGAAAUGACUUGGGAACCGGAGCGCGAAAUGCGGGAGCAGCAUCCGGAACUAUUUGCAGAGUGAGACUUCGAGGGCGAAGUCUAAUCCAAGUGGGGGAGAAUUGUAACAGCCCGGAAUCUCAGGUAUUAUUAAAAUUAUGUUUUUUGGGUGAUUUAAGAGGGGACUCGGCGAGUUGGAGCCUAGACUCGCCGAGUAGGAUCGCAGACUUGGUCGCGGGUCCGCGACUGGACUCGACGAGUCCAGAUAUGGACUCGGCGAGUCGACGCUGUUCAGCAGAAACCCUAACCGUUCAGUUUGAAUCGUAUAUAACGCCUCUUAGGCCGUCAUUUUCCGUCUUUUGAUCGAUUGAAAGGAACCCUAAUCGUUGUGGACGUCUAGGGCAGGAGAGAAAGCUAUUGGAACUUGGAGGAACUUGUUAGACAAGAAGAAGAAGAAAUUGGCCAAAGGAAUAUCAAGGAGGAUCGAGUCCUGAGGUUUGGGGAACACAGAGGGAACGUUCUCAGGUAAUACUCGGAUCAAUUCUGUUAGUUAAUGUGUUUAUGAACCUAGGGUUUAUGAAAAACCCAUUUAGUGAUUAGAUGGGUUAUUAUGUUAUUACCCAGAUGUUAUACCCACAGUAAUGAGAUGUUUAGAAGUCCAGAGGGUCCCAUGGUUGUAUAUCUUGGGACCAUACGUAAUUCAGGAAGCAGUUACUCGUCUGCAUGGCAUGGACUCGCCGAGUUGUUCUUCAGACUCGGCGAGUAGCUUGAAGAUUUACUGGGACUCGCCGAGUUGUUCUUCAGACUCGACGAGUGGAGUCGGGGUGGCCCCGCGAUUCUUUCAAGGGUAACUCGUCGGGUCGAGGAGGGUACUCGACGAGUAGAUAAGGAAUCUCAGAAAGUUGGAGGACGUCUAGACUCGCCGAGUCGCCAUGGUACUCGCCAAGUCCGGUCGAGCUGACCGUUGACCAUUGACCAGAGUUGACCUAAGUCUGACUUCUUAGGGAUAGUCACCCUUAGAAGUUAUAAGUGUUAAUGAGAUAUGUGAUGUUAUAGGAAGGUUGUAGCUCGUCGGAUUGUGCACGAGUGAUUUCAGGAGUUGCUAGCUUUCAGCAUUUACGAGGUGAGUCUUCUCACUAUACUGUACCCGGAAGGGUUUGACUGUGUGACCGGAAGGUCGGAUAUGUUAUGUGAUAUGUAUGCUAUAUGUGGUAAGUUAAUUGUUAUGUGUGCUAUGUAUGAUAUGUGGGCCGGAAGGCAAUAUGUUACGGGCCGGAAGGCGAUUAUGUUAUGAGGACCGGAAGGUCAGGGCCUGGAAAGGCGUAUGUGCGUAAGUGUAUAUUGGGGAACUCACUAAGUAUUUAUGCUUACAGUUGUUGUGCAUGUAUUUCAGGUACUAGCGAGGACCGUGGGAAGGCGCCGGCAUGAUCGAUACACACUGAAGAUUGUCUUUAUGAUCUUGGGAUUUUGAAUAAUUGUAUUUGACAGAAUAUUUAAACUAUUUAUGCCUUGUUUAAAAUGGAAACAACUAUGUUUUUAAAAAUGAAAAAUUUGUUGAAAAAUUUGAGCUGUUACACAAUAGGAACCGAAAGGAUGGUUUCGGUCCUUCAACUGACAGGAACCAAAAGGAUGGUUUCGGUCCUUUGACCAAUAGGAACCGAAAGGGUGGUUUCGGCCCAAUGACUGAAAACAACCGAAAGGGCAGUUUCGGUCCAUUCUCCAUCUACAACCGAAAGAGCGGUUUCGGUCCCUCAUCCUACAACAACCAAAAGGAGAGUUUCGGUCCUUCAUCCAAUGUCAAAUGAAAUUGCAAUUUCGGUCCUCCUGCUUGCAAGUCUGAUCAACAAAACCGGGAAUCUAAUGUCUCUUCUAAAUCCAAUUCUCUAAAUUCCUGUUCCUCAGCCAAAAACCCCAGUUGGUCUUUGGUGAUCAUGUUCGAGGUCUACCAGUUCUAAAAUUUGAUAAAGAACAUCUCUAUGCAGCAUGUGAAAUGGGAAAGCAGAGUCGGAAGAGUCAUCCUUCUAUUAUCAAUACUAAGGUGAUAGAACCACUGGAAUUACUGCACAUUGAUCUAUGUGGUCCUUCGUCCAUCGAAAUCAUUGGGGGAAACAAAUACGUUCUGGUUAUUGUGGAUGAUUUCUCGAGGCUUACAUGGAUUUUCUUUCUCAAGCAAAAGUCUAAAGCUACUCCAAAGGUCAUGCUCUUCAUUAAACAAAUCGAGACACAACUAAGAAAGGUAGUCAGUAAUAUAAGGAGUGACAACGACCUGGAAUUCAAGAAUAAAGAAUUUGAAGGUUUUCUUGCUGAAAAAGGGACGACUCACAAUUUCUCAGCUCCCUAUACUCCGCAGCAAAAUGGCAUUGUUGAAAGGAGAAAUUGGUCACUAUGUGAAGCUGCUCCUACCAUGUUAUGCUUCAUGUCCUUGCCGUUAUAUUUCUGGGUUGAUGCAAUCGCGACUGCAUGUUAUACUCAGAAUCGAUCAUACUUGAAUAAACAAUUCUCAUCUACUCCUUACGAGAUCCUAAACAAUCGAAAACCAAACGUGAAAUUGUUUCAUGUGUUCGGUUCAAGAUGUUUCAUUUUCAACUCCAAAGAGAAUCAAAACAAGUUCGAUGUCAAGGCAGAUGAAGGAAUUUUCUUAGGAUGCUCCUUGAACUCCAAGGCGUAUAGAGUUCUCAAUAACGAUCGAAGAAAAUUGAAGAAACAUACUACGUCACUUUUGACGAUAGUUAUGUUAAGAAGUUGAAACCCAGAGAAGAUGCAUCACAAGACAUAUUUUCUAAGAAUGGUUUGGUUACUAUCUCUAUCUCGAAUCUUUUCGACCAAUUCAUGCUCUUGUUUGAUGAGCCUCAAAAGGCGAUUGACUCUAAAUCAAUUGCAAAAGACAACAAAGUUGAUAAUCUGAAAGAGGUUAUAGACGAAGUUACUAAGAAGAUGGCUGAAAAUCAAUCCAAAGACACCGAAUGCACAAACGCAACCGAACCUUCUAGUGACCAACCUACUGUCCAGGGGGAGGGUUCCUCUACUCCUCAUGAUCAAGGUCCUUCAUUCCAGGGAGAGAACUCAUCGCCAAAUUCAUCAAGCUCUACUGAAAUUCCAGUCAAUGUAGAAGAUACAAAUGCUAGUGGCUUAUUCUUCGAGGGGGAGAACACCAAUGUUGGUGAUGAUGACACCAUGUCUGAACUAGGGGAAGAAAUUAAUGUUGAACUAGAUCCUAUUUAUUAUUCAACGUUUCCUCCACUUGUCAAAUGGACCAAAGUGAUGGGUUUUAGCCAUAAGAACUUUCCUAUGUGCGCAUGCAAAACCCUAAUGCUUGGAUCUAGGCUUUCUAAUCAAACAUGCUUUGAAUCCAAGACUUCUAAUGACUAUUUAGGUGUAAUAACAAUAUUGAAACAGAUCUAGAAUCAUACCUUUGAAUUCCUUGUUGAUCUUGUUGUCUUGGAGCUUAUAGAGUCACAAUUGUCACUCCUCUAAUGGCUUACAAACACCAAUAGCAAGGAGGAUGAUUUGGAAUAGAGGAGAGGGGAGGAAUUCGGCCAGAGUCUCUCUACUUUAGAUGGUGUGUCGAAUUCCCUCAGCCAUAGGGUCUAUUUAUACUUGUAGACUCCUUAAGGGUUACAGCUUAAACCCUAGUUGGAUAACUUAGACUUUAAGUUAAUCCAUAUCCUUUCCUUGAUAACCCUAUGGACGAUUUUGGCUUAUCCUAGCCUUAGAAAUCGUCCAAUCCUUUAUCAAUAAGGAUUUACAGUCUAAAGUUUAACUAUCAAGCAAUUGACAGUUUAUACCCUCUUAUUUAAUUAAUAUCUUUAAGUCACCAAAUUAAUUCCAAUUAAUUCUAUGACUUAUAUUAAUCAAAUAACAAUAUAUUGUUCUUUAUAUUAUUCUCAUAAUAUACUAAUAAUAUUUACUCUCUCUUAAUAAAUCAUCCUAUCAAGUUGCUAUGGUGAAGGCAACCCAAAAGGACCAUGCACAACCGGGUCAAAUACUUGCCUAAUAUAGUUGUAGCCUUAGACACUAUUCCCACACUCUCCCACUUGGAUAAGUCUAGUAACUAUAUGCACAAGUACAAUUCGGUUUGCAAUCGUAGCUCUCAAAGACGCUGUCAAACUCUGAUCUAAUCAAUCUUGUCCUUUAGAUAAGGGAUCGUACAGUCCUCUGUUAGAUAUCAUGCUAACAAUACUAUGGAAUAGUUAGUCAAGCAUUUGGUUUCUCAAUUUCUGAUUUAUUUGACAUAGAACUUAAUCGAACACAUCAAUUCAGUUCUGACCGGGCCCGACACAUUAGUCAAAUCAAAUCAUCGAGCGGCCGAGAUAUCACUUUUUCUUUCUUAGGAUAAAAGUUACAAAUAAACUUCGACUUAUAUGCAUUUACUUAUUCAUUAACUAACCAUACACAACAAUGAGUUUUAUAACAUCGAGUUACCAAUGCGUUUUCGCAUUAUCAAUGUACAAUCACUUAACCAAUAACAAACCAUAUAUCUAGGUUUUAAGACUAUAUGAUAUUAUCGUAUUGCGAUCACCCUUUUAUAUCAUAUUCCAUUACGAUCUUCCAGCAAGCGCGGGUUUGUUCCAAUGCUCAAAACUAGUUCAUAAGCACUCAUGAACGUUGCAGCAAUCUUUUGCUAUGUCUAACACCAUUUAGACACUCUACAUACCUAUUCAUGACAAUCUUCAUUCAUAUCUACUUCUAACAUAUGAACUAUUGUGGACUAUUUGAAUAAUUCGAUUAUUCCUAAUAAACUCAAUUAUUUUGGAAGUCAAAACAUACAAAGUGAAACAAUAGUUAAACAAUUAACAUAAGAUAGUAACAUUACUUAUAAAUAAAACUCCUUUAUUUAAUCAUCAAAUGUUAAUUACAUUUAUCUAUUACACGUUUCUAAUACUAUCUAAUCUAUGCUAAUAUCAUCCUUCAGCCCAAUGCUCCUAGCAUGCUGCAAGUGCUUAACCCUACUCAGUCCCUUCGUAAGCGGAUCUGCUGGGUUAUCUUCUGAUGAUAUCCUCUUAACUACGAGUUGUCCUUCUUCUACACGAUGUCUAAUAAAGUGAUAUUUUCUGUUGAUAUGUCUUGAUCUACCAUGAUCCCUCGGUUCCUUGGUCAAGGCAACCGCUCCUUCGUUAUCACAGAAAAUCUCCAUGGGCUCCUUUAUAGCAGGUACAACUCCAAGAUCACCGAUGAAGUUCUUUAGCCAUAUUGCCUCCUUCGACGCUUCGCUCGCUGCAAUGUACUCUGAUUCGCACGUUGAAUCAGCUACGGUUUCCUGCUUGGAACUCUUCCAUGUCACUGCUCCUCCAUUUAGGGUAAAGACCCAGCCCGACUGCGAACGGUAGUUGUCCCUGUCGGUCUGAAAACUGGCGUCACUAUACCCUCGCACCUUCAAGUCAUCACUCCCUCCGAGGACUAAGAACCAUUCCUUCGUCCUCCGAAGGUACUUAAGGAUGUUUUUCACCGCAAUCCAAUGUGCUUUGCCAGGAUUCCCUUGAUAUCUGCUAACCAUGCUCAAAGCGAAGGCUACAUCAGGGCGAGUACAAGUCAUAGCGUACAUGAUUGAGCCAACUGCGGAAGCGUAUGGUACUCGGCUCAUUUCUGCUAUCUCAGCUUCGGUACUCGGACUUUGAGUCUUACUCAAUUUGGCAUUACUUUGUAUCGGUAGUUCUCCCUUCUUUGAGUUUUCCAUACUAAAACGUUUUAGUACCUUCUCUAAGUAAGUAUUCUGACUAAGUCCAAUUAGUCUCUUACUUCUUUCUCUUACUAUCCUUAUUCCUAAAGUAUAGGAAGCCUCUCCGAGGUCCUUCAUAGCGAAGCACCUCCAGAGCCAGGACUUAACCUCCUACACAGUCGGGACGUCGUUUCCUAUGAGUAAUAUGUCAUCGACAUAUAGAACGAGGAAGCUUACUAUACUCCCACUGGCUUUGACAUAUACACAAGAUUCGUCUUUGCUUCGUACAAAUCCAAACUCUUUGACUUUCUCAUCGAAGCAAAGAUUCCAUCUGCGAGACGCUUGCUUAAGUCCAUAAAUGGACUUCUCAAGCUUACACACUCUAUUCGGAUGCUUCGGAUCCACAAACCCCUCUGGCUGAGCCAUGUAAACAUCCUCAGCCAACUUUCCGUUAAGGAAAGCGGUCUUGACAUCCAUUUGCCAAAUCUCAUAAUCAUGAAAUGCGGCAAUUGCUAGCAUCACUCUAAUAGAUUUAAUCUUCGCAACUGGUGAGAAGGUCUCAUCAUAGUCAACUCCGGGAGUUUGAGUAAAGCCCUUCGCGACCAAUCGCGCUUUAUAUGUGUGUACGUUCCCAUCCACGUCGGUCUUCUUCUUGAAGAUCCAUUUGCACCCAACGGUCUUACGUCCGGGCACGUAAUCAACCAAAUUCCAAACUUGGUUAUCAUACAUGGAUUGGAUCUCGCUAUCCAUUGCCUCUUUCCAUUUUGCAGACUCCGGGCCUGCCAUGGCUUCCUUAUAGCUAUUAGGUUCAUCAAGAUUUAUUAGUGUACCAUCACUAAUAUACGUGUCCCCUUCGGUAGUAAUAUGAAAGCCAUAAAACUGGGGAUGAACUCUAACUCUAUCGGAACGUCUAAGAGGUAAGGAUUCGUCAAUCGGUUCAACCGGAGUUUCCUCCUCGGGUUGAAUGCCAGCGGUAGAGGUUCCUUCAUCUAUCGACUCUUGAAUCUCUUCAAGUUCGAUUUGCCUCCCACUGUCUCCUUGGCUUAUGAGUUCUCGCUCUCGGAAAACUCCUCUCCUCGCAACAAAGACAACAUUGUCUUUCGGUCUAUAGAAGAGAUAUCCAAAGGAUGUUUGCGGGUAGCCGAUGAAAAUACAUCGCUCACUUCGAGGUUCAAGCUUGUCGUGAGUAUCUCGUCUUACGAAAGCCUCACAACCCCAAACCUUGAUAUGUGCCAACGAGGGAGCUUUCCCCGUCCACAUCUCGUGAGGUGUUUUGGCAACCUUCUUAGUAGGGACUCGGUUAAGGAUAUGGGCGGCAGUCUCUAAGGCAUACCCCCAAAAAGAGAUAGAUAGUGAAGCACGACUCAUCAUAGAGCGAACCAUGUCCAACAAGGUUCGAUUACGCCUUUCUGCCACACCAUUCAAUUGUGGUGUCCUAGGUGGCGUCAAUUGUGAAACUAUUCCACACUCCUUGAGAUAAUCGUGGAAUUCAAGACUUAGGUACUCUCCUCCUCGAUCGGAUCGAAGCAUCUUGAUCUUCCUGCCCAAUUGAUUCUCCAUUUCAUUCUUAAACUCUUUGAACUUUUCAAAAGUUUCUGACUUUUGCUUGAUUAAGUAGAUAUACCCAUAUCUACUAUAGUCAUCGGUAAAAGUCACGUAGAAACGGUUUCCAUCCUUUAUGGUAGAUCUAAACGGUCCACAUACAUCGGUAUGUAUGAGGUCCAAUAGACCUUCACCCCUUUCGCACGUACCAGCAAAGGGUGACUUAGUCAUCUUUCCAAGUAAACAAGACUCGCAUGUGCAUCUUCCCUAAGGUCGAAUGACUCCAACACUCCAUUCUUUUGGAGGUUGGCUAUGCGUUUCUUGUUGACAUGUCCAAGAGGACAAUGCUAUAAGGAUGCCUUAUCCAUACUAUUGGAAGAAUCCAAGUACAAAACAUCAUUUCCUAAGUUAUCAACAAUCAUAACAGUUUCAUAAAUUCCAUUACAUGGUAUAACUUCAAAGUAAAAGACACCAUUUAGAUAAGCUAAAAUAGAACCAUUCUCAUUAUUAAAAGAAAAUCUAAAACCUUGUGUAAACAAACCAUGAAAAGAAAUGAUGUUUCUAGCCAUUUCUGGCGAAUAGCAACAAUUGUUCAAAUCUAAAGAUAAACUAUUCCUAAGCACUAAAGAAUACACUCCAAUCUUGGUCACAGGCGACGAUCUUCUGUUCCCCAUGAUUGGAUUUAUUCUUCCAUGCUCCACGUCUCUACUUCUUCUUUGUCCCUGCACAUUAGAACAAAUAUGAUAACCACAACCGGUAUCAAGAACCCAAGAAGUAUUGUUGGAAUCAUUAGAUUUAAUUGUAUAUAUACUUGU